UUGGUGCAGAACUGUGUUAGUUCUAACCAUUCUGGUCAUUGGUUAGACCAGAAUAUCUUGAUAAUAUGCUACGGGACAGUAUUAUAUUUCAGCUGAGUUGACUGGACCAGCCACUUUCUCCAUAUCUCAAGUAAUCGUGCACAAACCCCAUCCCCCCAGCUUUGCAGCAGAGGUCUCCCACCUUACAGAUGAAAAACUGCUCAGGAUACUGAAUUAUACAGGUGCAAUAUUUAAAGAAAACUCGACUUGAAAAAAUGAAAAUGAAAGAUGAUGCCUGACCUGCUGAGUUCCUCCAGCACAGUAAGAUGCAGCAUCUGCUGCUCCUUGUAUCUCUGGGUUUGCAUGCAAGGUUCCUGGAGUUGCUGCCCUAAUCAAAACGAGGAUUUGAGAAUCUCUUUUACCCAAAACUGGGAAAUGAAGCAGGGAAGCAGCCAAAUUACAUUAGUAUUGUGCACCUCUAAGCAAAUCUAAUCUAGUCUGGAUAAAUAUUUAUCACAUUCUUUUUAAAUCUUGUUAAAUUGUGCCGCAAGAAUGAAUGGAAGAAUACAAGAAUGUAUUUAACUUUGUAGAUCACUGUGCAUAGCAACUCCCAGAAAUAACAAGUAACUUUGGAUAGAGAGUGUUCAUAAAAUAAAUGGGAAUAGAUUUAAGUUUGUAAUGAAAUGAACAAAAUGAUGUCAUAUUUCAUGAAUAUACAAAAUUGCUCUGCGACGGAAGAUUUACUUUCAUGUCAGUGAUGGCAUUCAGAGACUGUCACACUGGAAUGAAUGAAUAAUCUUCAAUUUGUGGAGAGAAUUAUAGCAAAAUCUUGCUUCAACGCAUCAGAAUCAAUAAUAUAUUAUUUUAUAGGUAAUCAUGCAAAUGAGGGGCAGGAUUUGUUUUCAAUGUUUGCUUUCUGAAUUUAUUCUGUAACUUAGUAGAAACAAAUGAUAAACUUCAACUAAAUUUGAUUAUGUAUUUUGGCUAAGAAAAUUGAUCAUAAAAUAGUGUGGGAAGUCUUUUCUCACUUGGAUUUCACAAUCGCCCGGUGUAACUUUGAUGACUGAUGGACAAAACGGUAGAAAAUUAAAGUGAAAGCCAGUUUGCGUGAUCACCCUCUGAAGAUGAAAUGGGAGAUUAGUGAUGACUAACUUCAAAUACAACCUGAGUUCAUUAGCCAUACAUCAGUAGCAAUUGUGGUUGCUAAAUGGUAGUUCUGAGUAUUAGAACUGUUUCAUUUUAAAUCAGAGAGUAAAAAUGCGGCCUGUUGACUUUGAAAUAAAACAUGGCAGACAAUUUAAAUGUCGCCAUUCAUAUGAUAUUGUACAAAACUGUUCUUUAUUUAUCUUCUUUUCUUCCCAAACUAGACAGGCCACCAUUAAAGCCAUCUAGAAUUACCAUUAAACAUUUACUAGCUUUCCAUGUAGGCUAAUCUUACUCUAUCUGAAUUAAAUAAGAGUCGACUUUAAAGCCUGUCUGAAUAGUCUAUUUCCUGCUAGGGCCUGGGUAUGCUACCUGUCCGCAUAGGCCCUAAUUUUGCAGCUGUCGUCUUUCCCAGCAUUUUACUAAUAAAGGAAUCUUUUGUUCUGUUGAUAAGCAGCACAUUGUUCACUACUCAGGUGCCCAGAUUGUGCAGGAUAAUGCAAUACAAUAUUCUUCUAUCCAGCCCAGAACAACUUACAUUGCUUGGGACUGAUUUGAGUUUUCUCUUUCAUGAAACUUUCCUUGUCUGAUUCUAAAUAGGAAAAAUCCCUAAGUGUCUGUUUACGUUGAAACAUAGCUAUUAAUGUGCUAGUCCAUACUGAGCGUGAAUCAAAGAGCUACUUUGUGCAAUGGUUCUUACACUGAUGUUAGUAGCACCUCCUUUUCAUCCUAGGAAGUCAAGCAUUUCUCCAUUUAAAAACAGUAUAAUUGUUUUGACCUAGCUCAGCAGCACUAAUUUGUUCCCAAUUCGUUACUGCUUGUUUAACACAAGGUUGGCAAAUAUCUGUUUGUAACAGGUCAUUCAUGCUUCAGUAAAACUGGCAACCAUCUGUAGCUGUUAAAUGCUUUUUAUUCUUUGUUAAGUUUCUGGUAAUGCUUUUGGCAUGAAACCUUAAAGCCUUCUUACAUUUCAGUGUUCUUGAGCAUUCCUUUGCAAUCUCCUAUAGUUAUCUGUUAGCUGUUUUUUUGUUAAUUUUAGCCUAAUUCCUAUUCUUCUGUAAUUUGUUUGGUAGUUAGAGUAUUAUAAUGAUUUCUUUCUGAGCUUCAACAUUUUCUGAAAAAAUACAUUAUCUCCAAAUACAUCUGCAGAAUUGUUAAUUGUUAAUUAUUAAAUGCUAUUCAAUACCUGCACUCCAAACGAGGAACAGUAUUUGAAAUACAUACAAUAAGCAACUUGAAUUAUUCAUUCACAUGCUUUCCAUAUAGUGGGUGAAAAUAACGAUAUCAAUUUGUAUUUAAGCAAAACCUGUGCGAAAAAGAACACAUUCUAAAAAUUACAUCACAUGUUAUUCACAGAAGCAUAAUUAAAAUUAGUGGCCAAGCCAAAGAAGGAGAUAUUAGGAUGGAUUAUUAAAAGCUUAGUCAAAGUGAUGAUUUUUAGGGAAGGGCUCAUGGUGUUGAAGCUGAGAAGGUGAAGUGGUUUAGGAAGUAAAUUCCAGAGGGUAGGGUCUAAAUAAUUGAAGGUACAGACAUCAGUAUUAGGGUGAUAGGAGUUGGAGAUUGGGGUGAUUAAAUCGCAAAGAGGUUAGGGCAAUGGGGAGUUGUAGAACUGGAAAAGAAUACCGGCAUAUGGAAGCAAUGGACCAUUAAGGUAAACAUAAACAUGUACAUUUUAAAUUGGAGUCAAUAUAAAUCAGCAAGUCCAAGAAUAUUUAAUAAACAGGACUGGUGAAAUAUAGAAUACAAGCAGCAGUUGAGAAACAUAUGAUUGUUGAUUUGAAAUAUUUGAAAUGCUUUACACAUUGAGAUUAGGAUUAACUCAAGAUUACAAUGAAACGGUAAAACUGCAUAAGGUAGCAGCUAGUGAUGGACACAAAAUUAAUUUGAUUUUUUGUUGAUUAAAGUACUUGAGAAAAUAGAUUUUAAAGGCUCUAUUUCAGUCAGUAAAUCAGAUAAUGAUUUUGUUCCAAAUAUCCUCACCCUAAAUCAGAUUCAAGAAACAGCUAUUGAUAAUUCUGAAGUAUUAAAAGCAUCACUGGAUGCUCAUAUUUAUGUGACCAUGAAACUCCAGGUAAACCAGACUUCACAGUAAGCAUCUGUUGCUGUCUGAAGACAUCUCCACCGGGUGGCGCCAGCAAUGGCUGCCACGCCACAGUCCGUCUGUCCCUUCCUUCUUUGGUGUUUUAUAGUGUCUGUUAAAUGUAAUUUUUUAUGUUCUUUAGCUUGUUUUAUGUGUGUGGGGGGUGGGGG